CCUACGGGGGGCAGCAGUAGGGAAUCUUUCACAAUGGGCGAAAGCCUGAUGGAGCAACGCCGCGUGCAGGAUGGAGGCCUUCGGGUUGUAAACUGCUUUUAUAAGCGAGAAAUAUGAUGGUAACUUAUGAAUAAGGAUCGGCUAACUACGUGCCAGCAGCCGCGGUCAUACGUAGGAUCCGAGCAUUAUCCGGAGUGACUGGGUGUAAAGAGUUGCGUAGGUGGCAUAAUAAGUAGCUAGUGAAAUCUGGUGGCUCAACCAUUCAGACUAUUAUCUAAACUGUUAAGCUCGAGACCGUUAGGGGUAACUGGAAUUUCUAGUGUAGGAGUGAAAUCCGUAGAUAUUAGAAGGAACACCAAUAGCGUAGGCAGGUUGCUGGGACGGUUCUGACACUAAGGCACGAAAGCGUAGGGAGCAAACGGGAUUAGAUACCCGAGUAGUC
rnacentral:rRNA from 1 species